rnacentral:misc_RNA from 1 species
GCAAACUUGGUCAUUUAGAGGAAGUAAAAGUCAUAACAAGGUUUCUGUAGGUGAACCUGCAGAAGGAUCAUUAGAGAAUUUUUAGGGAUUGAUUUCGAUCUUCCCGAACCUUCUUUUUUAUCUUAAACACCUGUGCAUUUGUGUGUGCGUUUCUGACGCAUACACACACAAUUUAUUAAACUCUAUGUUUUUUUGAGCGUAAUUUUAUUAUAAACAAAUAAUAACUUUUGACAACGGAUCUCUUGGUUCUCCCAUCGAUGAAGAACGCAGC